rnacentral:misc_RNA from 1 species
UUUCCGUAGGUGAACCUGCGGAAGGAUCAUUAAAGAGAUCAUGUCCUCACAGGUAUACCUCCCACCAUUUGUUUACAAUACCUGUGUUGCGUUUCCGGGGCCGUUUGGCCCCGCAUUGACCAACCGGCCCCGGCUGGUCAGUGCCCGCCAGAGAACCGAAAACUCCGAACUAAAUGUCUUCUGAGUAUUAUGUAAUAGUUAAAACUUUCAACAACGGAUCUCUUGGUUCUG